rnacentral:rRNA from 1 species
CCUUGUACACACCGCCCGUCACACCAUGGGAGUUGGUUCUACCCGAAGACGAUGCGCCAACCGCAAGGGGGCAGUCGGCUACGGUAGGGUCAGCGACUGGGGUG